GCCGGGGGCGGUGGCGCAUGCCUGUAGUCCCAGCUACUCGGGAGGCUGAGGUGGGAAGAUGGCUUGAGCCCAGGAGUUCUGGGCUGUAGUGUGCUAUGCCAAUCGGAUGUCCGCACUAAGUUCGUCAUCAAUAUGGUGACCUCCCGGGAACCGGGGACCACCAGGUUGCCUAAGAAGGGGUGAACCGGCCCAGGUCGGAAAAGGAGCAGGUCAAAACUCCCGUGCUAAUCAGUAGUGGGAUUGCACCUGUGAAUAGCCACUGCACUCCAGCCUGGGCUGGAGAACGAGAACGAGACCCCAUAUCUU
rnacentral:SRP_RNA from 13 species